CGGGUGAGUAACACGUGGGCAAUCUGCCCUGCACUCUGGGACAAGCCCUGGAAACGGGGUCUAAUACCGGAUACUGACCGUCACGGGCAUCCGUGAGGGUCGAAAGCUCCGGCGGUGCAGGAUGAGCCCGCGGCCUAUCAGCUUGUUGGUGAGGUAACGGCUCACCAAGGCGACGACGGGUAGCCGGCCUGAGAGGGCGACCGGCCACACUGGGACUGAGACACGGUCAUAACUCAUACGGGAGGCAGCAGUGGGGAAUAUUGCACAAUGGGCGAAAGCCUGAUGCAGCGACGCCGCGUGAGGGAUGACGGCCUUCGGGUUGUAAACCUCUUUCAGCAGGGAAGAAGCGAAAGUGACGGUACCUGCAGAAGAAGCGCCGGCUAACUACGUGCCAGCAGCCGCGGUAAUACGUAGGGCGCGAGCGUUGUCCGGAAUUAUUGGGCGUAAAGAGCUCGUAGGCGGCUUGUCACGUCGGUUGUGAAAGCCCGGGGCUUAACCCCGGGUCUGCAGUCGAUACGGGCAGGCUAGAGUUCGGUAGGGGAGAUCGGAAUUCCUGGUGUAGCGGUGAAAUGCGCAGAUAUCAGGAGGAACACCGGUGGCGAAGGCGGAUCUCUGGGCCGAUACUGACGCUGAGGAGCGAAAGCGUGGGGAGCGAACAGGAUUAGAUACCCUGGUAGUCCACGCCGUAAACGGUGGGCACUAGGUGUGGGCGACAUUCCACGUCGUCCGUGCCGCAGCUAACGCAUUAAGUGCCCCGCCUGGGGAGUACGGCCGCAAGGCUAAAACUCAAAGGAAUUGACGGGGGCCCGCA
rnacentral:rRNA from 1 species